rnacentral:rRNA from 1 species
AACUUAAAGGAAUUGACGGGGCCCGCACAAGCGGAGGAGCAUGUGGUUUAAUUCGAUGAUACGCGAGGAACCUUACCUGGGCUUAAAUGCUUAAUGACGUACUGGGAAACUGGUAUUUCUUCGGACAUUUUGCAAGGUGCUGCAUGGUUGUCGUCAGCUCGUGCCGUGAGGUGUCGGGUUAAGUCCCAUAACGAGCGCAACCCCUAUUGUUAGUUGCCAUCAGGUCAUGCUGGGGACUCUAACAAAACUGCCCGCGUAAGCGUGGAGGAAGGUGGGGAUGACGUCAAAUCAGCACGGCCCUUACGUCCAGGGCUACACACGUGCUACAAUGGCCGGUACAGAGGGCAGCCACUUGGUGACAAGGAGCAAAUCUCAAAAGCCGGUCUCAGUUCGGAUCGGAGUCUGCAACUCGACUCCGUGAAGUUGGAUUCGCUAGUAAUCGUAGAUCAGCAAUGCUACGGUGAAUACGUUCCCGGGCCUU